CGGGGUGGAGCAGCUCGGUAGCUCGUCGGGCUCAUAACCCGAAGGUCGUCGGUUCAAAUCCGGCCCCCG
rnacentral:tRNA from 1 species